AAACAGAAAUGGUCACAGGACAACCCGGUUAUAUGACUGGGGAAACAACACACUAGUUGGAAGACAUUCAAUGAAGAAAAUAGUUUCUCUACAAACGAGCAUGCAGCACGGAUUCUUCUGGAUAAGUGUGCACUUCAGUGACACAAAAAGUUCAUGCAGGUGAAGACAUCCCCACACCAGCUGGAACUUCUAUGGGACCGCCAUCACAUGUGUGCAUCCCUACACCAGUAACAUCUACGCCUACACAUGCCCAUAAAGAACCUAUAGCUAUAGAUAGACCUCCGAUGUCUCAGAUAUAGAAGCUCAGUCAUCACACUCGUCUGAUUUAUCUUGUGUGGAAGCAUUACAAUCAAACUCCGAGAGUAACAUUAAUGCCAGCUUGCUUUCCCGUUACCAACAGAAGGCUAAAGAGGAUGACACCUCAUUUAUUGAUAUACCUCAGACACAUCAACCUGAACACUUGCCAAUGGCUGAAGAUCCCAUAGAAAUGGAAGAGGUUGAUGUUGAUGAUGAGCUUACAGAGGAUGAAGGAGACAUUGUGGAAACAGACACUCAAAAGGAUAGUGUUGAAGAAAGGAAAUCAAUAUGCUUCCAAAGUGCCUUGUUGUAACUCACGUCAGUUCAAAUACCCACAACUUGUCAAAGAAAAGCAUGUGGUGCAAAUAUCAUUGUCCAGUGCAGAUAUGUUGGAUGUGCAGUACAGUUGAAAUGAAUUGGAGGAGCAGCAUUUGGUACUAGUCCUGGAUCCUCUGGAUCUUGUGGAUCCUCUGGUUCACCUGCAUUUUCGCAAAGGUCAAAAACUAGGCCUGGCUGACGAUACACUAGCUGAAGAACUAAAUUUAUCAGUGGCUUUAUUUUUGGUUUUGGAGUUGAUAAAUUAUAAUGCACUUAUAUAACUUUUUCCCUCAAAUUUCAUCCCAAAUUUUUCAACUAAGGUUUUAUUUAAGGUAU